rnacentral:rRNA from 1 species
AAACCAACAGGGAUUGCCUCAGUAACGGCGAGUGAAGCGGCAACAGCUCAAAUUUGAAAUCUGGCCUCCCGGGGUCCGAGUUGUAAUUUGUAGAGGAUGUUUUGGGUACCGCCCCGGUUUAAAUUUCUUGGAACAGAAUGUCAGAGAGGGUGAGAAUCCCGUCUUGGACCGGUGGUAGGGCCUGUGUAAAACUCCUUCGACGAGUCGAGUUGUUUGGGAAUGCAGCUCAAAAUGGGUGGUAAAUUUCAUCUAAAGCUAAAUAUUGGCCAGAGACCGAUAGCGCACAAGUAGAGUGAUCGAAAGAUGAAAAGAACUUUGAAAAGAGAGUUAAACAGUAUGUGAAAUUGUUGAAAGGGAAGCGCUUGCAACCAGACUUGAGCGCGACGGUUCCCCUAGCCUUUUGGCUAGGUUACUCCGUCGUGUCCAGGCCAACAUCGGUUCUGAGGGUCGGUCAAAGGCUCUGGGAAUGUAUCUACCCACGGGUAGACUUAUAGACCAGGGUGUCAUGCGACCUCUCGGGACCGAGGAACGCGCUUCGGCUCGGAUGUUGGCGUAAUGGUUGUCAGCGACCCGUCUU